AACAUCAUGGCCCUAGGUGAUGCUCAGAAAAAUGCAUAAGCAUUCACAAAUCUCUCUCCUCUCUCUCUCUUUCUCUCUCUCCAUUUUCUCUGCUUCAUUCUAGAAUGGCUUCCAACCCCCUGUCAUCUAUGUGAGUAUUGAAACAGACCACAACUUCCAUUGCAACUGUAACUAACAGGCAGUUGAACUUUUCCUGUGCUCCCAAGUUUAGAUAUGGGGGAAGGGUCUACACCUCUUCUUCCCCUAAGUGUCUCCACCCAGAUGUAACUCCCCACAUGGCCUGAGAUCCUUCCUUUGCCCCAGUCCCAGGGUUCUGGACAAGCUGGGAGGGGUAGAAAAUGAACAAAGGUGGUAGCAAAGUAGAAUUCUCAUAACACCCUGUUCUCUCAACUUCUCAGGAUCCUCAGGGUACCCUAACAGUGAGUAUUCCCACACCCAAGCAGCCCUUCUCUCCUUACCCCCCCAUAUAAACAUCUCUUGGGUUGUCUCUGCUUUGCCCUAUAUGGGAUAAAGAGCACCAGGAGAUCCUGAUAAGGCACCACUAAAGCUGUGUUUUUCUUGCAGAACGGUGGCGGCUUUGACGGGGUUGGUGGUCAGCGCUUCAAAAACAUUGGGGUUGGCUUCGAACCCACUGUCGUCUAUGUGAGUAUUGCAAUAGAUCACAACUUCCAUUGCAAAAGGAACUAAAAGACAGUUGCCCUUUCCCUGUGCUCUUAAGGUCGGAUAUGGGGGAAGAAAACCAUGAGCAACCCAACCCUGAGCAGUCAGCCCUGGCCCAAGAUCUGUCUGCUGCCUCAGUCUGGACUCGGUUUGGGAAAGAACUGAGUGGACUUUGGCAACAUCUUCUGUCUUGGUCCAACUCUUGACCACAGGGUGUACAAUCCUUCUUCCCCUAAGUGCCUCCACACAGACGUAACUCUGCUCAUAACCUGAACUCCUUUCUCUGCCCCAGUCCCAGGGUUCUGGACAAUGUGGGAGGGGUAGGGAAUGUACAAA
rnacentral:lncRNA from 1 species